rnacentral:rRNA from 1 species
UACGUAGGGUGUAAGCGUUAAUCGGAAUUACUGGGCGUAAAGCGUGCGCAGGCGGUGAUGUAAGGCAGGUGUGAAAUCCCCGGGCUUAACCUGGGAACUGCAUUUGUGACUGCAUCGCUGGAGUGCGGCAGAGGGGGAUGGAAUUCCGCGUGUAGCAGUGAAAUGCGUAGAUAUGCGGAGGAACACCGAUGGCGAAGGCAAUCCCCUGGGCCUGCACUGACGCUCAUGCACGAAAGCGUGGGGAGCAAACAGG